GGCCUGGCUGGUCGGUCCGCCUAACCGCGUGCACUGAUUCGGCCGGGUCUUUCCUUCUGGCUAACCUCAUGUCCUUUACUGGGUGUGUUGGGGAUCCAGGACUUUUACUUUGAAAAAAUUAGAGUGUUCAAAGCAGGCUUUUACGCUUGAAUACAUUAGCAUGGAAUAAUGGAAUAGGAC
rnacentral:rRNA from 1 species